CUGGCACGUACAACAGCACCUGCUACAUCAUCAUUAUUAUUAAUUAUAUUUUCAUCUUUGAUCUUAGAUUCAGCAGAUCCUCAUUCCAUUCAUUAAGCUUACCAUAGAAGAAAAAUUUACUUCAGCAUCAGCUUUUAACAACAGACUUUGAGAAAGUGGUUGAGCACGAUCCAGGCUCUAUGGGAUGAAUGAAUGAACUGGGGCAACCAGGUAAAUAGCCACAUAAGACCAGUGGCCACUGCAUUGGCUAGCACAGCCUUAGGACCACCUCCAGUUGUUGCCAAAGUCCAUCUGAAGCCACUCUUCCAGACAAGACAUCUGAAACUUCCAAGCACCUGGCUGGCAUCUUUACUUGGAUUUUGCUACUACUUCCAUCAAGGCUGGCGUGAUGAGGCAGGAAAAUGAGAUCACUCAAUGGCUAUUUCCAGUGCCCUUCAAUCACUAGGCAACUAGAUGAUUUGUUUUUUAAAAUGCAGGUUUAUGAAGCCUAGAAACUUCCUUCCUUUCCUGGAUGUUUUUGCUAACAAGUUCCUGGUUAGAUCCCAGCAGUGAGAGGCUCCAGACUGAGGUGGGGAAGGUGGAAGAGAAAAAGAAGCUGCUAUGCUCCAGGUGCACCUGGAAGACGUCACUUUGAUGUUGGCCUGUGGCAAAGGUACAGUUUUGCCGGUGACAUCAGGCAUCUCCUGAGAAUCACCCACUUGCCUCACUGUAGCCCUUCGCUUACAUUUUUCCCAAAUGAAGCUUUCCUGUUCUUCACUCC
rnacentral:lncRNA from 1 species